GGUUAAGCGACUAAGCGUACACGGUGGAUGCCCUGGCAGUCAGAGGCGAUGAAGGACGUGCUAAUCUGCGAUAAGCGUCGGUAAGGUGAUAUGAACCGUUAUAACCGGCGAUUUCCGAAUGGGGAAACCCAGUGUGAUUCGUCACACUAUCAUUAACUGAAUCCAUAGGUUAAUGAGGCGAACCGGGGGAACUGAAACAUCUAAGUACCCCGAGGAAAAGAAAUCAACCGAGAUUCCCCCAGUAGCGGCGAGCGAACGGGGAGGAGCCCAGAGCCUGAAUCAGUGUGUGUGUUAGUGGAAGCGUCUGGAAAGGCGCGCGAUACAGGGUGACAGCCCCGUACACAAAAAUGCACAUGCUGUGAGCUCGAUGAGUAGGGCGGGACACGUGGUAUCCUGUCUGAAUAUGGGGGGACCAUCCUCCAAGGCUAAAUACUCCUGACUGACCGAUAGUGAACCAGUACCGUGAGGGAAAGGCGAAAAGAACCCCGGCGAGGGGAGUGAAAAAGAACCUGAAACCGUGUACGUACAAGCAGUGGGAGCCUCUUUAUGGGGUGACUGCGUACCUUUUGUAUAAUGGGUCAGCGACUUAUAUUCUGUAGCAAGGUUAACCGAAUAGGGGAGCCGAAGGGAAACCGAGUCUUAACUGGGCGUUAAGUUGCAGGGUAUAGACCCGAAACCCGGUGAUCUAGCCAUGGGCAGGUUGAAGGUUGGGUAACACUAACUGGAGGACCGAACCGACUAAUGUUGAAAAAUUAGCGGAUGACUUGUGGCUGGGGGUGAAAGGCCAAUCAAACCGGGAGAUAGCUGGUUCUCCCCGAAAGCUAUUUAGGUAGCGCCUCGUGAAUUCAUCUCCGGGGGUAGAGCACUGUUUCGGCAAGGGGGUCAUCCCGACUUACCAACCCGAUGCAAACUGCGAAUACCGGAGAAUGUUAUCACGGGAGACACACGGCGGGUGCUAACGUCCGUCGUGAAGAGGGAAACAACCCAGACCGCCAGCUAAGGUCCCAAAGUCAUGGUUAAGUGGGAAACGAUGUGGGAAGGCCCAGACAGCCAGGAUGUUGGCUUAGAAGCAGCCAUCAUUUAAAGAAAGCGUAAUAGCUCACUGGUCGAGUCGGCCUGCGCGGAAGAUGUAACGGGGCUAAACCAUG
rnacentral:rRNA from 1 species